CCUACGGGUGACAGCAGUAGGGAAUCUUCCACAAUGGACGAAAGUCUGAUGGAGCAACGCCGCGUGAGUGAAGAAGGGUUUCGGCUCGUAAAGCUCUGUUGGUAGUGAAGAAAGAUAGUGGUAGUAACUGGCCUUUAUUUGACGGUAAUUACUUAGAAAGUCACGGCUAACUACGUGCCAGCAGCCGCGGUAAUACGUAGGUGGCAAGCGUUGUCCGGAUUUAUUGGGCGUAAAGGGAGUUCAGGCGGUUCAAUAAGUCUGAUGUGAAAGCCUUCGGCUCAACCGGAGAAUUGCAUCAGAAACUGGUGAACUUGAGUGCAGAAGAGGAGAGCGGAACUCCAGGUGUAGCGGGGGAAUGCGUAGAUA
rnacentral:rRNA from 1 species